CAUGGAUGGGUGGAUCGUUAAGCUAUCCGGUAUUAUUUAGCAGGAGUAGUCAAUAAUAAGACCUCACUUUUUAAGCUGCUCAAGUUUCGUCCAUAAAAUUAAUCACGGUACUUUAUUUUGUUUAUCAGUGAAGUGACGGACGGGUUGUAAUCUUGUUUAAGAAGAAGUGAAAUCCAACACGACUUUAUGUUUAGUUAAUCCUCUUGACACGCAGUAUUGGCUGGCUUCUUAUCGCAAGUCCGGUUCAAUAUUUGCUGCUACCUGAUAUCUUCACUCGAACGGAUAAAUUAUUUUCCACUGGAACCCAAUCAAACCACGGAAAGUUCCCAAAGUUGAGUUAAAACAAGGUAAAUCUUGAUUGUGUCAUUUUCUGGGAUUUUUCUCCGCGAUAUUUUUGCGAAUAAUUUGCAUAGACGAAUAAGAAAAUGAUUUAUUAGCAAACUUAAAAUCAUGUAACUUUUGAUGAUGACAUUUUGUGGGAUUUUUCUCUGCAAUAUUUUUUGCGAAUAAUUUGCAUACAUAGACGGAACAAAAAUGACGGAAAAAUCUGGUAAAAAAGUGGACUUUUUACCAAACUCGCUUCCCAACUCUGCAGGAAAUUAUUGGCGUUUACGAGAAGAAGAUAAUAAUCAACCUCUUCCAGCAGGAUUGCAUAAUAAUUCGCAUCAAAACAAAGACCAAGCUGGGAAGAAAGCCGUCCUUCUCAUGCAUCCCAACCCGAACCAGAAGUACUUUAAGAGGAGAGAUUUCCUCGAUAAGGAUAAGAGCAAUGGGGGCAACUUCUUCCGGUACAGGAUUCGCGAACCGUUAUCCCCAUUUCGUGGUCUGGCCAUGAUCACGUUUUGGGUCUGUUUUGGUCUCAUACUUUUUUGCCUGGGAGGACUCGUCGUCACCCUGGUCUACGUCGGAAUGACAUCGCCAACGUCAACGUCAACUGGGGACGAUAAUCCCCACUCGUAUUUUAAUUUGAGAAAUAGUACAUCGAUAAUUUUAAGGGUGCUGUUCGCAAAGCAUUAAUUACUCGAUAGUUAAUUAAUUAUCUCUUAAUUAGUGGUUAUUUUAUACAUUUAUGAACAAAAUCCUGUCAAAAUUCAUGAAUAUUCAGUGAAAUCUUAUGCAUACGAACCCGAACCAGAAGUACUUUAAGAGGAGAGAUUUCAUAGAUAAGGAAAAGAGUAAUGCAACGGCGGGGGGAUUAUUGGGGAGACGGGGGAAUUUUUUCCGGUACAGAUUCGCGAACCCUUAUCACCAUUCCGUGGUCUGGCCAUGAUCACGUUUUGGGUCUGUUUUGGUCUCAUACUUUUUUGUCUGGGAGGACUCGUCGUCACGCUGAUUUAUGUCGGAAUGACAUCCCCAGCGUCUACGUCAACUGGGAAUGAUAAUCCACAUUCGUAUUUUAAUUUGAGAAAUAGUACAUCGAUAAUUUUAAAGGUGCUGUUCGCAAAGCACUGACUCCUGGACAGUUAAUUAGUAGUUAUUUUAUACAUAAUAUUUUGGACAAAAUGCUGCCCAAAUUUGAUUAGUAUUCAGUGAAGAAACUUACGCCUCAUUAUUGGUGUCAUGAUUUAUUGUAGAAAUUUUAUCGUCAUUUGGUGAUCACGUUUUGGCUCUGUUUUGUUCUCAUCCUUUUUUCUCUUGGGGGUCUCGUCAUCGCUCUGGAGUGACAUCGUCAGAGUCAACGGGGGAUGAAAUUCCCCACUCGUACUUUACUCUGAACUCUGAACAUAUCGAUAAUUUUAAAUGUGCUGUUUGCAAAGCACCAAUUUCUUUAUGGUUAACUAACUGUCUCUUAAUGAUGUAGUAAUUGUUCAUUAUUUUAUGCCAUAAGUAGUGAUUGUUUAGUGAAACUGACGCCUCAUUACUAGUGUCAUGACCUUUAAUUUAUGUACAUUACUCACCAAAUGCACGUGAUUUUAAACGUGCCAUUUACAAAACAAAGAUAAUUACUUAACAGUGAAUUGUCUCUUAAUUAGUAGUUGUUUUACACAUUUAUGGACAAAAUCCUGCCCAAAUUGCAUAAGUAACUAAUGAUUAUUUAAUGAAACUGAUGCCACAUAAUUUACACGAGGCACUAAUUUAAAUAUGUUACACAUGUUACAUACGUUCCAAAAUGUAUAAAAAAAUCAUGUAUGUACAUUAUGCAUUUAUAUUUACGAAUGUACGUCAGCAGUGGUCCACUUUUCGGGCGAAUUUAAAUUUCUAGGUUUACUUCCUUACUCGUAUGAAUUGUAAAUUGUUUCAUGAUUCUCAUUCAUACGGUGACAUUUAUAUUUAUAACUCGUGUACAAAAUAAGUAAUAAAAUUUGUAAUAGUAAAAAAAUCGACUAAAUCCUCCUGUAUUACGUAGAACCAUUGGUACUUUGUCUCAUGGAGUCUGUCCCAAAAAUGUACACAUGCCUCUAAUCAAUAAAUAUCUGCUUGUGGUUUUUGGUUAAGUAAUUUUUGCAACAAACUCGACUUAAUAUUUUAUCAGAGUGUAGCAAAAUGUUUUUGGUUUUUAGUUAGUUACCAUUCGCACCUUUGGCUGACAUCAUCUAUUUUACAUUAUCAUACAUAGUGCUGCUGCACCUUAUCAUCCACGUCUACCCAUCGGAAUGCAGGCUGCAUCCCAGGUUCAAGUGCUGCACGUUCACGUAUAAGGACGCGCACUUGUUAGCGGUGAAGAAAACGAAGGAAAAAUCGACUUGGAAGAAAUGGAAAGCGAAUUCGAAAACGACGCUGAAACGCUUCGGCGAAGUGCUUGGCGUGGAAGAGAGCGAGUUCAAGAGCUGUAUUUACAUCCCAAAAAGUGAAGAGGAUCAAGUUCAGCAGUUCGUACGGAAGAAUUUUUCAGAUUCGAGAAUUAAGUUUGAAAGCUGUCGAUUUGUGAAACGAGGAAGCACAUUUUUUGAAAAGGUGGCACAAAGGUUGAGAGGUGUUUUUGGGAUUAUUUUUGAGCUUACGUAUCCAGACAGUUCGGCAGUCGUGGAAGAGUACAAUUUUCGCCUAAAGGACAUUUCCGUAAUUACGACGUACGUCCAGGAACGCAUAGUGGAAAAGGGAUGAUAAUCAGAAUUGUAAUUUAAAUAUUUAAAAUUUAAUUAACGGUUAAUACUUUUUGUCACUUUUUAAGUUUUUUAAAAUGGCUGAUAUAGAUUAUUAAAUAAUAAACUUUUUGGUUUGAUAAACGUAAA